AGAGUCAGAUCUACAAUCAAAUGUCUCCACAAUAGUAAAGUAUGGGAAAUGGGAUGACCCUAGAUACACACACAUGCCUGGAAUCUACUCUGAAAUGACAAAGCCGAUUGUCAAACCAGCAAAGAAGGGAAAGUAUCAUACCAUAAAACCUAGAAACUAUGAUGUCACCUCUGCUGUUGACUUGGUACGGUUCAUUCGCAACUCCAUUGCCCAUGUUUCUGAUAUUAGUCGCCCAAGCCCAAUCAGAAUAGAAAUUCUUGACAAUGCUGUGUUCCUGGAGUACUUUCCAAACAUUACCAUGGAAGUGUACAAUGCUGUGACCAAACAUGGAUGGAGUUUUUCGAGGGAAGAAAUCCAACAUGCCAUUGAAGACAAUUGAGGCUCUACCAAAAGACAAAUUGGAGAAAAGAACUGUAAAUAUAUAGGCAGCUAACAUGAAAAUAUCUUAAAUAUGUUUUUUUUUUCAAAUCAUCAAAUCACUAUAAUCUGAAUGCAUGCAGCUGAAAUAAAGAAUAGGCUUUUGGCAUGAAACGGUCGUAUAUGGCCAUUCAUUCUAGAGGACAAAAUUAAAAAAAUUAGAAGUCAAGCUUGACAGGCUAUGUUCCUUAUGUUUUUGACAUUGUUCACAUUCUUUCGCCAUCCAGAAUGGCAGAUUUAGUAUUAUGUGACUGUUUCAUGCAAAAGACCUCGACCAAAACAUGAAUACUUAGGGUUUUGCUAAUGAUAAUGAAGUCAGUGUAAUAUAUUUGUACAAAGGUUGAUAGUGUGACAAAUUUCUAAUUAUCAGUACUAUUCUAUAAUUAAAGCUUGUAGACGCCAAAUGUAUGAGGCAAACACAGGAAACGAUCUUGAGAUAUGAACAACACUGUCCUCCAUCAAAGUAGUUAGGUGUUCUUUUACUGAU